rnacentral:rRNA from 1 species
CUACUGCUAUCGGGGUCCGACUAAGCCAUGCGAGUUGAGAGGGGUAAGCCCUCAGCAUAUUGCUCAGUAACACGCGGAUAACCUGCCCUUGGGUUUGGGAUAACCCCGGGAAACUGGGACUAAUACCGGAUAGAUCAAAGAUACUGGAAUGUUCUUUGUUCGAAAGCUCCGGCGCCCAAGGAUGGGUCUGCGGCCUAUCAGGUAGUAGUGGGUGUAACGUACCUACUAGCCUACGACGGGUAAGGGUUGUGAGAGCAAGAGCCCUGAGAUGGAUUCUGAGACAUGAAUCCAGGCCCUACGGGGUGCGGCAGGCGCGAAAACUUUACACUGCGGGAAACCGCGAUAAGGGGACCCCGAGUGCCAGCACCUAGUGCUGGCUGUCCAGCUGUUCAAAAAACAGUUGUUAGCAAGGGCCGGGCAAGACCGGUGCCAGCCGCCGCGGUAACACCGGCGGCCCGAGUGGUAGCCGUUAUUAUUGGGUUUAAAGGGUCCGUAGCCGGCCUAUUAAGUCUCUUGGGAAAUCUGGCGACUCAAUCGUCAGGCGUCCAAGAGAUACUGGUAGGCUUGGGACCGGGAGAGGUGGGAAGUACUCCAGGGGUAGGGGUGAAAUCUCGUAAUCCUUGGGGGACCACCGAUGGCGAAGGCAUCCCACCAGAACGGGUCCGACGGUGAGGGACGAAAGCUGGGGGCACGAACCGGAUUAGAUACCCGGGUAGUCCCAGCUGUAAACGAUGCUCGCUAGGUGUCAGGUGCGGUGCGACCGCAUUUGGUGCCGUAGUGAAAACUUGAAGCGAGUCACCUGGGAAGUACGGUCGCAAGGCUGAAACUUAAAAGGAAUUGGCGGG